rnacentral:rRNA from 1 species
AUGAGACAUCCUAUGUUUGAGGGUAUCCACUAUAAGAGGUGGCGCGUGAGAGCAGUCUUAUGGUUUCAAACCAUGAGUUGCUAUGACGCCACUCUUGGCAAACCUGAAGGAGAGCAAGAUGCCCAACAGGCACAAGCUUUUCAGGAAAUGGAUACCUUGUUUAAGGCUGCGCUCUUGAGUGUUCUUGGAGAGAACAUAGUUGAUGCUUAUGCGGCAAUUGAUAAUGGAAAAGAUAUGUGGGACGCACUCGAGGCCAAGUUUGGGGUCUCGGAUGCCGGCACUGAGCUGUACAUCAUGGAGCAAUUCUAUGAUUACAGGAUGACUGAAUAG